GACGAACGCUGGCGGCGUGCUUAACACAUGCAAGUCGAACGGAAAGGCCCUGCUUUUGUGGGGUGCUCGAGUGGCGAACGGGUGAGUAACACGUGAGUAACCUGCCCUUGACUUUGGGAUAACUUCAGGAAACUGGGGCUAAUACCGGAUAGGAGCUCCUGCUUCAUGGUGGGGGUUGGAAAGUUUCGGCGGUUGGGGAUGGACUCGCGGCUUAUCAGCUUGUUGGUGGGGUAGUGGCUUACCAAGGCUUUGACGGGUAGCCGGCCUGAGAGGGUGACCGGCAACAUUGGGACUGAGAUACGGCCCAGACUCCUACGGGAGGCAGCAGUGGGGAAUAUUGCACAAUGGGCGGAAGCCUGAUGCAGCAACGCAGCGUGCGGGAUGACGGCCUUCGGGUUGUAAACCGCUGUCGCCUGUGACGAAGCGUGAGUGACGGUAAUGGGUAAAGAAGCACCGGCUAACUACGUG
rnacentral:rRNA from 1 species